CCUACGGGCGACAGCAGUGGGGAAUAUUGGGCAAUGGGCGCAAGCCUGACCCAGCAACGCCGCGUGAAGGAAGAAGGCUUUCGGGUUGUAAACUUCUUUUCUCAGGGACGAAGCAAGUGACGGUACCUGAGGAAUAAGCCACCGCUAACUACGUGCCAGCGGCCGCUGUAAUACGUAGGUGGCAAGCGUUAUCCGGAUUUACUGGGUGUAAAGGGCGUGUGGGCGGGACUGCAAGUCAGAUGUGAAAACCACGGGCUCCACCUGUGGCCUGCAUUUGAAACUGGAGUUCUUGAGUACUGGAGAGGCAGACGGAAUUCCUAGUGUAGCGGUGAAAUGCGUAGAUAUUAGGAGGAACACCAGUGGCGAAGGCGGUCUGCUGGACAGCAACUGACGCUGAGGCGCGAAAGCGUGGGGAGCAAACAGGAUUAGAUACCCCGGUAGUC
rnacentral:rRNA from 1 species